UUUUGUUGCAUUGCGCUGGAAUGUUGGCGCACCAAUCAGAUUGCUCCAAACACAUGGUACAACCUCAAACUUGUUAAUAUCACAUGAUAUAAUUUUAAUAAAAUGGCCUCUAGAAGACAGGUAGAAUUUAAAGGAGCUUCAUGAGGUCUGAGGUUCAAAGAGAAGUCAAGAAGGAACAGAAAUGGGUCUCACAAAGCCUGUUAUCGAUAUUUAGGAUAAUUUUUGUGCCUGCUGACAGGAUUCAGUGCCAAACAAAAUGUCAAUCACUACUUUGGCUCAGUACUGUAUUAUGUCCUCUGGAAAAUAAGUUCUGGAACUGAACUGAAAACUCUUCCUUCGUCCCCUGGUCAAUGACUAAAGCUAGUGAGUUUGCCUCUUGAUGAACAACAAGUUAAGAAAUGUAUUAUAGGAGUACAUACUGUUAUAGAACUCGGGGAACUACUUCUACCUCAUCUGCAAAUGAUGUCUCUGACAGCCAUGGCUUUUAUAGCAUUCAUUAUCUGAUUAUACAAUUUUAGUCAAUUUUGCAUUAUUAAACAUACUGUUUUGAUCUGAUAACAAAA